rnacentral:lncRNA from 1 species
GAUUGCCAUUACCCAGAUGGAUUUGAUCAGGGAAGUGUUUGCAUACCAGGUUUGCACUACCAGCCCGCUCUGACCAAAGGUCCUUCUUGACACUGAAAUUCUGCGGGGAUCGUGCACUUCCACAGCAAACUUUUUCUCACGGAAAUAGAGGUUUUCCAGCUGCUUCCAUUGGAAUAGUUUUCUGGGCUUAACUUUGUCUUGUAAGUCGUACUGGCCUAUCCCUUUA